rnacentral:rRNA from 1 species
AUGGAAGAGAGAAUGCCGGCGUGAGUAGCGGCACGUGGGUGAGAAUCCCACGCACCGAUGGCCCAAGGUCUCCAGAGGAAGGCUCGUCCUCUCUGGGAUAGUCGGGACCUAAGGCGAGACCGAAAGGCGUAGCCGAUGGACGACGGGUGGAUAUUCCCGUACCCGAUGUGUGGCGAUGGAGUGACGGAGAAGGCUCAGGCAACCAGCUGCUGGAAUAGCUGGGGCAAGCGAGAUACCUGCGCACCAGGGAAAUCCGGUGCGCGCAAGGGGAAGGCGCGAAGCAUACGGAAAGCUGCGGCAAGUACGGAAAAGCUGAGAGCAGGCUUCCAGGAAAAGCUUCUAGCACAACACGCAUCGGCCCGUACCGAAAAUGGACACACAUGGGCAAGGAGAGAAUCCUGAGGUGAGCGAGAGAACUAUAGCUAAGGAACUCUGCAAAAUGACCCCGUAACUUAGGGAGAAGGGGUGCUCCAGAAAUGGAGCCGCAGUAAAACGGCCCAAGCGACUGUUUACCAAAAACACAGCUCUCUGCGAAGGCGCAAGCCGAAGUAUAGGGGGUGACGCCUGCCCGGUGCUGGAAAGUCAAGGGGAGCUGUCAGCGCAAGCGAAGCAGCGAGCCGAAGCCCCAGUAAACGGCGGCCGUAACGAUAACGGUCCUAAGGUAGCGAAAUUCCUUGUCGGGCAAGUUCCGACCCGCACGAAAGGCGUAACGAUUUGGGCGCUGUCUCAGCUGUAGACUCGGUGAAGUCUUAGUACCUGUGAAGACGCAGGUUGCCCGCGACUAGACGGAAAGACCCCAUGGAGCUUCACUGCAGGUUGACAUUGGGCUUGGAUGCAUGAUGUACAGGAUAGGUGGGAGGCUGUGAGCCGUGCGCGCCAGCGUACGGGGAGCCGCUGUUGGGAUACCACCCUUCAUGCAUCUAGGUCCUAACCGGAGGCAACGGGCCACGGGACAGUGUCAGUCGGGCAGUUUGACUGGGGCGGUCGCCUCCCAAAGAGUAACGGAGGCGCCCAAAGAUACCCUCAGCAUGGAUGGAAACCAUGCAUAGAGUGCAAAGGCAUAAGGGUGUCUGACUGCGAGACAUACAGGUCGAGCAGGGACGAAAGUCGGGCUUAGUGAUCCGGCAGAUCCGAAUGGAAGGGCCGUCGCUCAACGGAUAAAAGCUACCCUGGGGAUAACAGGCUGAUCUCCCCCAAGAGUUCACAUCGACGGGGAGGUUUGGCACCUUGAUGUCGGCUCAUCGCAUCCUGGAGCUGAAGUCGGUUCCAAGGGUUGGGCUGUUCGCCCAUUAAAGCGGUACGCGAGCUGGGUUCAGAACGUCGUGAGACAGUUCGGUCCCUAUCUGUCGUGGGCGCAGGAGGUUUGAGGAGAGCUGCCCCUAGUACGAGAGGACCGGGGUGGACGGACCGAUGGUGCACCAGUUGUCACGCCAGUGGCACAGCUGGGCAGCCAAGUCCAGGCGGGAUAAGCGCUGAAGGCAUCUAAGCGUGAA